rnacentral:rRNA from 1 species
AAACUUUCAACAACGGAUCUCUUGGUUCUGGCAUCGAUGAAGAACGCAGCGAAAUGCGAUAAGUAAUGUGAAUUGCAGAAUUCAGUGAAUCAUCGAAUCUUUGAACGCACAUUGCGCCCCUUGGUAUUCCGGGGAGCAUGCCUGUUCGAGCGUCAUU